GCCCUUCAGCAGCCGCGGUAAUACGUAGGUGGCAAGCGUUGUCCGGAAUUAUUGGGCGUAAAGCGCGCGCAGGCGGCCUUUUAAGUCUGAUGUGAAAGCCCCCGGCUCAACCGGGGAGGGCCAUUGGAAACUGGAAGGCUUGAGUACAGAAGAGAAGAGUGGAAUUCCACGUGUAGCGGUGAAAUGCGUAGAGAUGUGGAGGAACACCAGUGGCGAAGGCGACUCUUUGGUCUGUAACUGACGCUGAGGCGCGAAAGCGUGGGGAGCAAACAGGAUUAGAUACCCUGGUAGUCCACGCCGUAAACGAUGAGUGCUAGGUGUUGGGGGGUUUCCGCCCCUCAGUGCUGAAGCUAACGCAUUAAGCACUCCGCCUGGGGAGUACGGCCGCAAGGCUGAAACUCAAAGGAAUUGACGGAAGGGC
rnacentral:rRNA from 1 species